rnacentral:lncRNA from 1 species
AUAUCAUUCAAUUUGCAAUGGAGGAAAAGGCAUUCUCCUAGUUGACUCUUUUCCUGAAAAAACAAGAAGUGACUCGCACCCAUAACUCAGUGUCCGAGUCCAACUCGACGACAAAUCGAGCCCCUCCAUAGCCACAGCAAUCUUUAACUAAUUCAACCUUCGUUUUCCGCAGAAACUACAAUCUGUGCCUACACUCCUUCUUCUCUGCUGUAUCGUACCUGAUUCCUCCUCUCUCACUUCUCCUUCCGUAUUCGUUUUCAAUUUCGGUAAAAUUAGGGUUUUUCACAGUUCCUGUGGAUCUGGGUUCUUCAAUAUCGUUGCAAAUUGACUAUGAACUACGAAUCUUAAGACAGUAGCGGUUAGUUUUACUCUAUUUUUUUUUUCUUUUUCGUUAUUUAUCUCAAAAGCCUGCAACCCUUUUCUCUUUCAAUUCUAGGGUUGGGGGUUUUUGUUUUAGCUUCUUUGACACUGAUUUUAUGCUCCUCCAUUUUUUGGGGUUUUAUAAAGGAAAGAACUUUAAGUGACACCAAAAUUCAUCUUACAUUGAAGGACUUAAGAGUGU